ACAGAACAGAGAGAGAUAAGGAAGAGAGAAGGUUAACAAGUUUCUUUCUUUGUUUAUCUCAACUUUACCACAUCCUUCUCAAGGAAGAGAGAGAGAGAGAUGCCUUUGAAACCCAGAAAAGCUUCAAUGUGAAUCAUAAGGUUUGAUUAUCUAUGAAUUGAGAUUGGCAGAGAAGGAUUUUGGGUGUUCAUCAAAUUAAACUUCUGCAAGAUUAAUAGUCAAGCAUUCUUAACUUUGUAACCUGAAUCCUAAGGAGUCAAUUUGGGCUUCAGCACCUCAACUACUCGAGGAUGAUCAAGUAGGAAUUCCAACUCCAAAUGGUGGACAGAUGGAGAGUUAAGAGAAUGAUAGGAAUCAUCCUAAAGAGCUUUUGAACUUAAUUGAUUGUUCCCAAGACAGCUGAACUUAUUCGUGACAUGUUGAUGAACGUAAUCAAAGAAGUUAGUGAGGAAAUAUUAUACAGGUUUGUCAUGAAUCAAUUGGAUUACAAAUGUGCUUUGAACUCCGUGUGAAGCUCAUUAUGUGAACCUGAUAUGUGAAGUUAAUUGUGAAUGAAAUAAGACUACCGCAGAAGUCAUGAGGAAAUAAAGCAGAAUUACAGUAUGGGAAAGUUCGACUGUGCUGCUCAUCCCCCAUUAUCAUCCACCAUUGUCAUCCCCCACUAGGUGUCAUGAUUUAAGCCUUUGGAUUUUGCCAAAAUGCUUGACGGGAGAUAGCAGGGGAUCCAUUAAAAGAGAUUGAGCCAAUAAUUAUGUGACACAUAGUGGGGGAUAGCUCUGGUGGACAAUUGUGGGGGACAUGAAGCACUUUCCGGGAAAGUUCACUGGUGGUUAGAAUUAGAUUAGACUGGCAGUGGCGGCGACUGCACAUGAGGUUUGUAUUUUGGGAUAUUGAAUGAUUUGGGGGAUGUUACUUGAAUAGUGGAUACGGAAGAGAUGCCUUCAAUGGGAAAUAUUUGUAUGUAAUGAGAAAGAAAAUGUCUAUUUAUAAAAUUAUGAAUAAACAGUGACAUUUGAAGGAGAUAUGUCUGUUAAUGUUGGACUAUGCAGUGUUUCUUUGUAAGUUGUGGAUAAACGGUGACUCUUUCAGUAUUUAUUUAUUAUUGUGUCUAAUUUGAUUUAAUUCAUCGAAAGACGUGGGAUGGCAUUCAAGAGGUUCACUUUCUCCAUUUAGCGCGAGUGACAACCGAACAACCCCGACUUUUAUUGACAAUGAAGGUAACAUGCAACGAGCCAGCAGAGGUGCCCCGUAGCAGAUUAGCAUAGAGUCCAUGCAGUGAUUUAUAAAUUUGCAGAACCUGGCUUAAGGCCACUCGGAGUAGCAUACCAGGUAACAUAAAUUACAAGGCCACUCCUCUCAUCCUGCCCUUUUCUUAAAUCUAACAUGCAUUGCCAAAAAAAAAUUCAUUUAGGAAGUCUGGAAAGGAUAGCGAGCAUCUCGGCUCUAUGGUAGUUUAUUGGUCUGUUGCUACUUUUUGUUGACGUAAACACGGCAAUGCUGAAACAAUUAGGUGGGCUCAGGAUCAAAAUGAUUUCAGAUAGGUGAUCAACUGGCCAUUUGGAAAGAAACUGGCCACCGUCUGGGAAUGGGCAAGGAUGAACCGCUAGGUUUACCAGUUGAUGAACUUAUAGAGAAAGCAUAUGGUUUUGCUGGUUUUCUUCGCUGGUACUGUUUUAAUAAUAGCUAUAUAAUUUGGUUUGUAGUCCUGUUCCUUUUUGGCGUAUAAUCUGAUUGGACACUUCUGCUCUGUUGCUUCGGAACAUAAAUACGAGAUCGUAAGGGCACAUAUGUGGAGUGACUGGUUAUGUAGUUGACAGCACCCGCUCUUAAGAAGGCCGACAUUGGUAGUGUUGUUUCGCAUUUGACUGAUGCAGCACGCAGUGCUUCAGACAUUGCACUAACUGAGAGUUUGAUCCUGACUCAGAACGAAUAUUAGCUAUAUGCUUUACACAUGCAAGUCAAACUUUGUUUACGGGUUGUUGGCAAAGAAAGCCUAAUUUGUGGUUCAAAAGAUCUUGGUAAGAAAUUGCAUGAUUUGAUUAUAAUGAUAUCUUUAAAUUCAACCGUUGGAA